AUUUUUCAACAUGAUGAAAAAUUAGUGGCGACUAGAAUUAAGCCGUCAUGGAGAGUAGGGAGAAUUCUCGUGCCGUAGGUGGGUCGUCUGGAGGUCCUAGUGGUUCGCCAGGAGGUUGAUGGUUCUCGUAGGUUCUCGUAGGUCGGAGCCGGUGCUGA